rnacentral:rRNA from 1 species
GACGAACGCUGGCGGCGUGCUUAACACAAGCAAGUCGAACGGAAAGGCCCUGCUUUUGUGGGGUGCUCGAGUGGCGAACGGGUGAGUAACACGUGAGUAACCUGCCCUUGACUUUGGGAUAACUUCAGGAAACUGGGGCUAAUACCGGAUAGGAGCUCCUGCUGCAUGGUGGGGGUUGGAAGGUUUCGGCGGUUGGGGAUGGACUCGCGGCUUAUCAGCUUGUUGGUGGGGUAGUGGCUUACCAAGGCUUUGACGGGUAGCCGGCCUGAGAGGGUGACCGGCCACAUUGGGACUGAGAUACGGCCCAGACUCCUACGGGAGGCAGCAGUGGGGAAUAUUGCACAAUGGGCGGAAGCCUGAUGCAGCAACGCCGCGUGCGGGAUGACGGCCUUCGGGUUGUAAACCACUUUCGCCUGUGACGAAGCGUGAGUGACGGUAAUGGGUAAAGAAGCACCGGCUAACUACGUG